AUUGAACGCUGGCGGCAGGCCUAACACAUGCAAGUCGAACGGCAGCACAGAAGAGCUUGCUCUUUGGGUGGCGAGUGGCGGACGGGUGAGUAAUGUCUGGGAAACUGCCCGAUGGAGGGGGAUAACUACUGGAAACGGUAGCUAAUACCGCAUAACGUCGCGAGACCAAAGUGGGGGACCUUCGGGCCUCACACCAUCGGAUGUGCCCAGAUGGGAUUAGCUAGUAGGUGGGGUAAUGGCUCACCUAGGCGACGAUCCCUAGCUGGUUUGAGAGGAUGACCAGCCACACUGGAACUGAGACACGGUCCAGACUCCUACGGGAGGCAGCAGUGGGGAAUAUUGCACAAUGGGCGCAAGCCUGAUGCAGCCAUGCCGCGUGUAUGAAGAAGGCCUUCGGGUUGUAAAGUACUUUCAGCGGGGAGGAAGGCGGUGAGGUUAAUAACCUUGCCGAUUGACGUUACCCGCAGAAGAAGCACCGGCUAACUCCGUGCCAGCCGCCGCUGUAA
rnacentral:rRNA from 1 species